GAUGAACGCUAGCGGCAGGCUUAACACAUGCAAGUCGAGCGGCAGCAGGCCUGUAGCAAUACAUUUGCGGGCGACCGGCAAACGGGUGCGACAUAAGUACCCAACUUACCCCGAACUGGGGGCUACCGCGGGGAAACGCGGAUAAAUACCCCGAAAUAUAGUGGCGUGGCAUGACUUUAUUAUUAACGCCCGGGCGGUUCGGACUGGGCGUGCGGCUGCUUAGGUAGUUGGUUGAGGUAACUGCUCACCAAGCCUACGAUCAGUAACUGGUGUGAGAGCACGAGCAGUCACACGGGCACUGGGACACGGGCGCGACUGCUACGGGAGACAGCAGUAAGGGAUAUUGCGCAGUGGAAGCUACUCUGACCCAGCCAUGCCGGAUGGAGGAUGAAGGCGCUCGGGAUUGUGGACUUCUGGUAUAAGAGAGGAAACCUGUGUAUUCUUGCGCAGGUGACGGUACCCUAUGAAGAAGCACCGGCUAACUCCGUG
rnacentral:rRNA from 1 species